rnacentral:rRNA from 1 species
UACGAAGGGGGCUAGCGUUGCUCGGAAUCACUGGGCGUAAAGGGUGCGUAGGCGGGUCUUUAAGUCAGGGGUGAAAUCCUGGAGCUCAACUCCAGAACUGCCUUUGAUACUGAGGAUCUUGAGUUCGGGAGAGGUGAGUGGAACUGCGAGUGUAGAGGUGAAAUUCGUAGAUAUUCGGAAGAACACCAGUGGCGAAGGCGGCUCACUGGUCCGGUACUGACGCUGAGGUGCGAAAGCGUGGGGAGCAAACAGGG